GCAGUGACAGUAACGUGCAGCAUGAGAACCUGCUGCAGGUUCGGGUCGAACGAAGUGAGACAACGUUGUUAGCAACGGCCCGCAGGGCGAGCGUCAGCGAGUCAUCCUGCACGACCCACCA
rnacentral:sRNA from 1 species